UGGUUACAAUAGCAGAGAGGAUACACCUGUUCCCAUUCCGAACACAGAAGUUAAGCUCUCUAGCGCUGAUGGNUAUUUUGGAGGCGACACCCAGAUUCGAACUGGGGAUCAAGGAGUUGCAGUCCA
rnacentral:rRNA from 1 species